AGUAUUCAUAAAAUCGUUAUUUUUACUCGAAAUGACAAAAAUUUAACAUCAAUCGAUAGGAAAUUUCAUCGUCUUUAAUUUGAGACCUCAUAGAAGUUCACCCGAACUCGCGAACAUUUCAAAAAAUUGCGUUCAUUACACGAAAAAUUGUAUGCAUACUUACGGCGUUUCCUUUGUUUACGUUCUGGGAAGGAAGAAAAUGGCGGUCCAGCAUACCCCCAUAAUACUAGUGAUAACAUACGGCUCUAUGAUUGGUUGUAAAUUGUAUUAUAUUGUAAUUGGCUACCAGAUUGAUGACGUCUUUAAUCAUUUCACCCAAUAGGAAAAUAGGAAAACAAAAUGUUCAAAUUUCUCAAAAUUUUAAAGUGCUCUUUUGCUGAUCGCCAUCUUGGAUCGGAUAUGAUUUUCGACGAAUUCAAUGGGUGACGCAGGGUAACUAGAGUGAUAUACAUACCGGUAACAGCUAACAGAUAAGAUUCGAUGAUAUUCAACGAAAUUCAGCGAUGGCCGAAUGUUACUGUAAAUUUAAACAAAUGUACGACGAGAUUGGAAUGAAACCAUAUGAUGACUUGCUACGAAGCUGUUCUACAGAUUCGAAUAAUGGUGCAACCAACAAGUAAAACUGUUUUUAUGGCUACCUAUUUCGGUGCGACUGGAAUCGGCUGGAGAAGUUUGCGAACGAAUUCCUAAUGAUAAUUUUGACGUGUGAGUUUUCUGAAUUUGGUUCGAUUAUGGGUGCCCCGAUUCCUUUUCUUAUUUUGAAAUGAAUGCUGCCGACUAAUCAGAAGAUUACGGAAAAUUUUGAUCUGGAAAUUUCGAGUGAAUAUGUUUUGUCAACAAUGGAUUGCGUUGUCCACACGGUCUGGAAAGUCUUCCAGCGUCUUUAUCGAUAUCGUGACACUUUAUUUCGAACCGUUUUACGUAAUCUGGAAAUGUUAUCUACGUCGACGUAUGGAUUGGAAUUUUAGUUUCGUUGACUUUCGACGUUGCGCUAUGCGCCGAAUACUCGAAUUGCGAAUGUUUUUUAUGGUGAUGGCGGCAGUGGAAUGUUCGAUGGAACUACGUUUUUAACUAGAACUAUGUUUUUGGAUUUCUCUUGGUUUGAAACGAUCGGAUGGUAAUCGAGUACAAGAACUUGUUGGACUUUUUCCGGUGACUUUUUUAUUUUAUCGUUCUGUUUUCUUUGUUGAUGUUUUGUUUUAUUCGAUUUUUUAUUUUCCAGGUGCUGUUCAACAUCGGUGGAAUUGUCAACAUCGCGAUGAAAAUUUUUUGAGUCGUCGGUCGUUGACCCUGGAAUUUCCAGAAUCAGCUUUUAAAUUGCUGUCUCGCUGUAUAAAAAUGUAUUUUCAUUUAUUUAUAUAUCUACAUAUGUAUAUGUUUAUUUUUUUUUUCCCGCCAAAAUUUGAAAAUUAUUCACAUUUCACGGCCAAAUUAAUUUCUGAGUUCAGAAAUUUUAAAUUAGGAAAAAAUAUCGUUUUUACUCUCAUUUUGAGCGAUUUUCAAACGAGCCUCGGCCAAACCGAUGAACGAAAUAAGAAUCUUCUUCCCUUCCUCAUUCCUCAUUAACUGUUUCUUAUUACUAGGCUUCUAGCUGCAAAUAACACAAAGAUGAAAUGAAUUAGAUCACAAUCAUACAUCUUUGCAGCUUCGAGUUACAGCUUGAAUGCAAUUUUAAUAUUAUAAAAAUAUCGCUCCUUUCUAUGAGUGUACGAGUAGUAAAAAGAAAAAUACAUAAUAAAACGCGUAUAAUGUAUUAUUACUUUUUCUCACUACGUUUCUGCAAAAUUGGGUCUUCGUAACCAAUCAUAAUUAGGUGGUCAUAGAAAGGAUCAUCUUCAGCUAUUCUUGGUUCAUUUUUACGCAUUUUAUAUGGUUUAUACGAAGUGUAUAAUUUGAACAGGGUGUCCACAAGACUGGAAAAGUCAGGGAAUUUCGUAAUUUUCACGCAAAAUCCCUGGAAUUUUGAAAAAACGAUCAAUUUCAAAUUUUGGAUAAGGACCUGUGAUGAAAGAAAAACGUUAUUUUAUACUUCUCGAAAGACAAAUUUUCAAAAGUUUUUGCCCUCGCUUCGCUCGGGCUUGUUUUCUUUUCUUCUUCAUCUUUUUCAAAAGCAAAAUGAACAUUUUCGCCCUCGCUUGGGCUUGUUCUUUUUUCUUCGUCAAAAUCAACUUCCUUCGAAAAAAACAUCAUUCAAAUUCUAAAAUUUUAAAAGCCAAAAAAACUGCUUGUCCUCACAUGAAAAACCUCGUUUUUAGGCAUCUCGAAACGAAAACUUUCAGAAGCUUUCGCUCGAGCCUGUUCUCUUUUCUUUUUCCAAAGUAACUUCUUUCAAAAAAACAUCAUUCCAAUAUUAAUUCAAGAACCAAAAAUUCUUUGCAUUAAAAAAACCUCGUUUUUAGGCAUCUUGAAAUGAAAAUUUUCAAAAGUUCUAGCUCGAGCAAAAAACAAAUUUCAUAUUUUCAGGCCUCCAAAAAUCCAAAAAACCAAAGAAAAUUUUUAUACCUAAGUCAUAUAAAGUGGCCAAAAUUGCUGCAUGUUUUUUAAUUUAAAAAGUUAAUAAUCGAAGUUUAGCUGUUUUUUAUAUCCGAAGAAGUAUCCAGUUCGAAGAGAAGCUUAUGAAAUAAAAUUACACCCCCCCUCCCCCAAAAACCUCUUUAAUUAAACUGUGGGGCAAGCAUAGAAUAUGAAAAAAAUAUCUGGAAAAAUGGAAAAAUUGGUCUGGAAAACCUGGAAAAGUCAGGGAAAAUCAUUUCCAGAAAUGAGUGGACACCCUGUUGAAUAAAGACACCUUAAGCGUUGGAAUUUGAAGGUAGAUACUUAUUGUAUACCUAUAUUAUUUGUAGGAAUCCACACCAUUCUGAUGGCUUCGGUUUGCUUUCGCAAUUGCCUACGUGAACUGGAAAUUCAGUACUUUGGUCAGUAAAAAUCCACUGAACAUGAAAAUGUAGUACUUAACAAACGGAAAUAUUAUGAAACAUUCCGAGUGGAAUGCCUAUCUUACAUGACUAACGAGACGAAAAGCAAGAUUGUAAAGAUUAUUUAGAUACCUUUUAAAUAUAAUCCUUUGUAACAUGCGACCGAGUUUUACCAGUUGAUCACAGCUGAACAUUGCAUUGAUGAGUUCAUGAUGUACUGAUAGAAGACAUUAUGACUUAUCUAGAGCCAUUUCUACGAAUGAAUUUCAAGUUUAAAAUUUGAAUCAGUACAGACAGCAAAAUACAAAACUCCAGAAACACCAUAGAUUAAUGCGAUUGUAUUGUCAUUUUGUUAGAUAAAGAGGUGUUAGAUGUAGUCAAUUGUACUGAUGCGUGGUUGUGAAUGACUAUUUACUACGCUAUACUAUUUUUAACGAUAAUUAUGUAUGUAGAAUCAGUCUAUAGAGCAAUGUGAUGUGUACCUACCAAAUUCAGGCAGCAACCGGCAACUGUGUUUCAACUUUUACACAGUUUUUAUAUGAUAAAAAUUGAACAAUAAAAUUAUCUUUAUCAA